rnacentral:rRNA from 1 species
GUGGGGAAUAUUGGACAAUGGGCGAAAGCCUGAUCCAGCCAUGCCGCGUGUGUGAAGAAGGUCUUCGGAUUGUAAAGCACUUUAAGUUGGGAGGAAGGGCAGUAAGUUAAUACCUUGCUGUUUUGACGUUACCGACAGAAUAAGCACCGGCUAACUCUGUGCCAGCAGCCGCGGUAAUACAGAGGGUGCAAGCGUUAAUCGGAAUUACUGGGCGUAAAGCGCGCGUAGGUGGUUCGUUAAGUUGGAUGUGACAGGCCCGGGCUCAACCUGGGAACUGCAGCCAAAACGGGCGAGCUAGAGUACGGUAGAGGGUGGUGGAAUUUCCUGUGUAGCGGUGAAAUGCGUAGAUAUAGGAAGGAACACCAGUGGCGAAGGCGACCACCUGGACUGAUACUGACACUGAGGUGCGAAAGCGUGGGGAGCAAACAGGAUUAGAAACCCGAGUAGUCC